rnacentral:lncRNA from 1 species
AAAAUUUCAAAACAAUUAAAACUUUUCAAAAACCACCCAUUUUAACAACGUUGUUACAAAAAGGUUUUCAAUACAUUAUUUAACAGCGUAUUUUCCCAGGUUCAUAUCAUAAAACGCCAACGCGAGGAACAGUACGAUCACGCCUUUGCCUUGCCACAGACUCCUGAGAACCUGAAAACAUAAAACCACAACUGUAAGCCCGAAAGCUUAGUGAGAUACCCCCAAAAUACCAACCACAUAUACGCCCCUCCAGGCCACGAUCUUUCGGUCCAAUUCAUAUUGCCUUCCGGCCCAUAACACAUCGCCUUCCGGCCCAUAACAUAUUGCCUUCCGGCCCAUAACAUAUUGCCUUCCGGCCCAUAGCAUAAAAUGCAUACAUAACAUAACAGAUCAUAGAACAGCCAUACAUAUCGGGUCAAACCCCAGACCAAGCAAACUUGCACAUAACACAUAACCAUAUAACAGAUCACAGUCAGCAAAUCGAUCAACAGAUCACAUAACAUAACAUUACUCUAACCAAGAUACCGGCCUAACCGGUCACUAGCAUAACAUCACCCUACGAAUCAGUCAACAUACUAUUUACACACAUACGCCUUUCCAGGCCAUGACCUUCCGGUCCACAUCGCAAUGCCUUCCGGCCCACAACAUGUAAUGCCUUCCGGCCCACAACAUAUAAUGCCUUCCGGCCCAUAACGUAAUGCCUUCCGGCCCAUAUUCCGCAAUAUCAUAACAACAAACACUACCCGGAUUUCCAUCCAAUAAAGGGUCGGCCUUGGUGCCUUAAACCCUAUUGAUAUAGUGAGGAUAACUCACCUCGAAUCUGCCGACUGAACGGACAACCCAAGCUGCUCCGAUCACUGAUACGAUCUCCACCUCUGGACAACCACCAAUGCACU